GAUGAACGCUGGCGGCGUGCCUAAUACAUGCAAGUCGAGCGAACAGAUAAGGAGCUUGCUCCUCUGACGUUAGCGGCGGACGGGUGAGUAACACGUGGAUAACCUACCUAUAAGACUGGGAUAACUUCGGGAAACCGGAGCUAAUACCGGAUAAUAUAUUGAACCGCAUGGUUCAAUAGUGAAAGACGGUUUUGCUGUCACUUAUAGAUGGAUCCGCGCCGCAUUAGCUAGUUGGUAAGGUAACGGCUUACCAAGGCAACGAUGCGUAGCCGACCUGAGAGGGUGAUCGGCCACACUGGAACUGAGACACGGUCCAGACUCCUACGGGAGGCAGCAGUAGGGAAUCUUCCGCAAUGGGCGAAAGCCUGACGGAGCAACGCCGCGUGAGUAAUGAAGGUCUUCGGAUCGUAAAACUCUGUUAUUAGGGAAGAACAAAUGUGUAAGUAACUAUGCACGUCUUGACGGUACCUAAUCAGAAAGCCACGGCUAACUACGUG
rnacentral:rRNA from 1 species